AUGCUCGCUUCGGCAGCACAUACACUAAAAUUGGAAUGAUACAGAGAAGAUUAGCAUGGCCCCUGCUCAAGGAUGACAUGCAAAUUCAUGAAGCAUUCCAUAUUAAA
ensembl:snRNA U6 U6 spliceosomal RNA